rnacentral:misc_RNA from 1 species
GCUGAGUCUCCAUCAGAGUACCAAAUCCCUUGAUUUGUGGAAGAAUGAGACAGUGGUAACCGCUGCAUAGGUGACUCCAUGGAACAGCUAUUACCUCCUGCUGAUCUUGAGGCUGGUAGAGGACGGUCCACAUUAAUAAUUCGGUGGUUCUCCAUCAUGACAUGGUGUCCUCCAUCAGAUGAACUGUUUCUCAAAUUCGAUGGUGUUCUAGAAAUAGGUGAAAGAAUCUGCUGGUUAUAGACCUCCAUGUGCACAGAAGGCCUAGUAUUCGUAAAAUCUCCGGACUCUUUAGAGUCAAAAACUACAGACCUACGCUCACCACUAUUAGUAUUU